rnacentral:rRNA from 1 species
GACGAACGCUGGCGGCGUGCUUAACACAUGCAAGUCGAACGAAGAGCGAUGGAAGCUUGCUUCUAUCAAUCUUAGUGGCGAACGGGUGAGUAACGCGUAAUCAACCUGCCCUUCAGAGGGGGACAACAGUUGGAAACGACUGCUAAUACCGCAUACGAUUUAAUCUCGGCAUCGAGGAUAGAUGAAAGGUGGCCUCUACAUGUAAGCUAUCACUGAAGGAGGGGAUUGCGUCUGAUUAGCUAGUUGGAGGGGUAACGGCCCACCAAGGCGAUGAUCAGUAGCCGGUCUGAGAGGAUGAACGGCCACAUUGGGACUGAGACACGGCCCAGACUCCUACGGGAGGCAGCAGUGGGGAAUCUUCCGCAAUGGACGAAAGUCUGACGGAGCAACGCCCGCGUGAGUGAUGACGGCCCUUUCGGGGUGUAAAAGCUUCUG